UACGGAGGAUCCGAGCGUUAUCCGGAUUCAUUGGGUUUAAAGGGUGCGUAGGUUGUUUUAUAAGUUAGCGGUGAAAGCUCGAUGCUCAACAUCGAAACUGCCUCUGAUACUGUCUGACUAGAGUGUAGUUGCGGAAGGCGGAAUGUGUGGUGUAGCGGUGAAAUGCUUAGAUAUCACACAGAACACCGAUUGCGAAGGCAGCUUUCCAAGCUAUUACUGACGCUGAGGCACGAAAGCGUGGGGAGCGAACAGG
rnacentral:rRNA from 1 species